rnacentral:lncRNA from 1 species
AGUCUUUCAUGCCAGUCUCUAUUUGUUUGGCCAAUCACCUUCUUCAGGAGGUUACAUAACGUUUUGUUGAAUGCUUCCCCAAGACCAUUGGCCGGAGCAUGAUACAUAGAAGACUUGUGCUGCUUGAAUUUGUAUUUCUCAUAGAGCUCGUCCAUGAGUCAGUUGAAGAAUUCUUUUUCAUUGUUUGUGAUGAUGUAGCAAGGCACACCAUAUCGGUGGAUGAUAUGCUCCUUGAUGAAACGGACGACAAUUUCCUUCUUGACUUCCUUUAGGGGUACGACUUUAACCCACUAGAGAAGUAGUCCAUUACGGCUAGGAUGUAGGCUUUUUCAAUAGAUGAUUUUGGUGUGAUUGGUCCCACGAUGUCCAAUCCCCAUGCAUCAAAUGGCCAUGAAGCAAUCGUAGGGUGUAAUGGCUUAGGUAGUUGAUGUAUGAAGUU